UACGUAGGGUGCGAGCGUUGUCCGGAAUUACUGGGCGUAAAGAGCUCGUAGGUGGUUUGUCGCGUUGUCCGUGAAAUUCCCUGGCUAACUGGGGCGUGCGGGCGAUACGGGCAGACUGGAGUACUGCAGGGGAGACUGGAAUUCCCUGGUGUAGCGGUGGAAUGCGCAGAUAUCGAGGAGGAACACCGGUGGCGAAGGCGGGUCUCGUGG
rnacentral:rRNA from 1 species